rnacentral:rRNA from 1 species
GACGAACGCUGGCGGCAGGCCUAACACAUGCAAGUCGAACGGGCGUAGCAAUACGUUAGUGGCGCACGGGAGAGUAACGCGUGGGAAUCUACCUUUUGGUUCGGGAUAACGUCGGGAAACUGACGCUGAUACCGGAUAAGCCCUACGGGGGAAAGUUUUUUCGCCAAUAGAUGAGCCCGCGUUAGAUUAGCUAGUUGGUGAGGCAAUGGCUCACCAAGGCUACGAUCUAUAGCUGGUCUGAGAGGAUGACCAGCCUCACUGGGACUGAGACACGGCCCAGACUCCUACGGGAGGCAGCAGUGGGGAAUAUUGGACAAUGGGGGAAACCCUGAUCCAGCCAUGCCGCGUGAAUGAUGAAGGCCUUCGGGUUGUAAAGUUCUUUUGGUGGGGACGAUAAUGACGGUACCCACAGAAUAAGCUCCGGCUAACUUCGUGCCAGCCGCCGCCGUAA